GAUGAACGCUGGCGGCGUGCCUAAUACAUGCAAGUCGAGCGAACGGACGAGAAGCUUGCUUCUCUGAUGUUAGCGGCGGACGGGUGAGUAACACGUGGAUAACCUACCUAUAAGACUGGGAUAACUUCGGGAAACCGGAGCUAAUACCGGAUAAUAUUUUGAACCGCAUGGUUCAAAAGUGAAAGACGGUCUUGCUGUCACUUAUAGAUGGAUCCGCGCUGCAUUAGCUAGUUGGUAAGGUAACGGCUUACCAAGGCAACGAUGCAUAGCCGACCUGAGAGGGUGAUCGGCCACACUGGAACUGAGACACGGUCCAAACUCCUACGGGAGGCAGCAGUAGGGAAUCUUCCGCGAAGGGCGAAAGCCUGACGGAGCAACGCCGCGUGAGUGAUGAAGGUCUUCGGGUCGUAAAACUCUGUUAUUAGGGAAGAACAUAUGUGUAAGUAACUGUGCACAUCUUGACGGUACCUAAUCAGAAAGCCACGGCUAACUACGUG
rnacentral:rRNA from 1 species